rnacentral:rRNA from 1 species
GUGCCAGCCGCCGCGGUAAUACGUAGGGGGCGAGCGUUGUCCGGAAUCAUUGGGCGUAAAGCGCGUGUAGGCGGCUCGAUAAGUCCGGUGUGAAAACUUGGGGCUCAACCCCAAGCCUGCACUGGAUACUGCCGAGCUAGAGUCCGGGAGGGGAGAGCGGAAUUCCUAGUGUAGCGGUGAAAUGCGCAGAUAUUAGGAAGAACACCGGUGGCGAAGGCGGCUCUCUGGAACGGUACUGACGCUGAGACGCGAAAGCGUGGGGAGCGAACAGGAUUAGAUACCCCUGUAGUCC